AGAGUUUGAUCAUGGCUCAGAUUGAACGCUGGCGGCAGGCCUAACACAUGCAAGUCGAGCGGUAGCACAGAGAGCUUGCUCUCGGGUGACGAGCGGCGGACGGGUGAGUAAUGUCUGGGAAACUGCCUGAUGGAGGGGGAUAACUACUGGAAACGGUAGCUAAUACCGCAUAACGUCGCAAGACCAAAGUGGGGGACCUUCGGGCCUCAUGCCAUCAGAUGUGCCCAGAUGGGAUUAGCUAGUAGGUGGGGUAACGGCUCACCUAGGCGACGAUCCCUAGCUGGUCUGAGAGGAUGACCAGCCACACUGGAACUGAGACACGGUCCAGACUCCUACGGGAGGCAGCAGUGGGGAAUAUUGCACAAUGGGCGCAAGCCUGAUGCAGCCAUGCCGCGUGUGUGAAGAAGGCCUUCGGGUUGUAAAGCACUUUCAGCGGGGAGGAAGGCGUUAAGGUUAAUAACCUUGGCGAUUGACGUUACCCGCAGAAGAAGCACCGGCUAACUCCGUGCCAGCAGCCGCGGUAAUACGGAGGGUGCAAGCGUUAAUCGGAAUUACUGGGCGUAAAGCGCACGCAGGCGGUCUGUCAAGUCGGAUGUGAAAUCCCCGGGCUUAACCUGGGAACUGCAUUCGAAACUGGCAGGCUAGAGUCUUGUAGAGGGGGGUAGAAUUCCAGGUGUAGCGGUGAAAUGCGUAGAGAUCUGGAGGAAUACCGGUGGCGAAGGCGGCCCCCUGGACAAAGACUGACGCUCAGGUGCGAAAGCGUGGGGAGCAAACAGGAUUAGAUACCCUGGUAGUCCACGCCGUAAACGAUGUCGAUUUGGAGGUUGUGCCCUUGAGGCGUGGCUUCCGGAGCUAACGCGUUAAAUCGACCGCCUGGGGAGUACGGCCGCAAGGUUAAAACUCAAAUGAAUUGACGGGGGCCCGCACAAGCGGUGGAGCAUGUGGUUUAAUUCGAUGCAACGCGAAGAACCUUACCUGGUCUUGACAUCCACAGAACUUAGCAGAGAUGCUUUGGUGCCUUCGGGAACUGUGAGACAGGUGCUGCAUGGCUGUCGUCAGCUCGUGUUGUGAAAUGUUGGGUUAAGUCCCGCAACGAGCGCAACCCUUAUCCUUUGUUGCCAGCGGUUAGGCCGGGAACUCAAAGGAGACUGCCAGUGAUAAACUGGAGGAAGGUGGGGAUGACGUCAAGUCAUCAUGGCCCUUACGACCAGGGCUACACACGUGCUACAAUGGCAUAUACAAAGAGAAGCGACCUCGCGAGAGCAAGCGGACCUCAUAAAGUAUGUCGUAGUCCGGAUUGGAGUCUGCAACUCGACUCCAUGAAGUCGGAAUCGCUAGUAAUCGUAGAUCAGAAUGCUACGGUGAAUACGUUCCCGGGCCUUGUACACACCGCCCGUCACACCAUGGGAGUGGGUUGCAAAAGAAGUAGGUAGCUUAACCUUCGGGAGGGCGCUUACCACUUUGUGAUUCAUGACUGGGGUGAAGUCGUAACAAGGUAACCGUAGGGGAACCUGCGGUUGGAUCACCU
rnacentral:rRNA from 1 species